GACCUCUCAGGGUCAUACCUGGAGAGUUCCCAGUACUCUAUCAGUCUCGACUAUGGGAGGGAGAGUCAGGCAGAGGUCUGUCCAUUCCAAUCCUAGCUUGGGCAGUGGCUAGCAAGUAGAAGGCAAUCCGCUACAAGU
rfam:Ornithorhynchus anatinus chromosome 4, whole genome shotgun sequence.